UACGGAGGAUGCAAGCGUUAUCCGGAAUGAUUGGGCGUAAAGCGUCCGCAGGUGGCUAUGUAAGUCUGCUGUUAAAGAGUGAGGCUCAACCUCAUAAGAGCAGUGGAAACUACAUAGCUAGAGUGCGUUCGGGGCAGAGGGAAUUCCUGGUGUAGCGGUGAAAUGCGUAGAUAUCAGGAAGAACACCGGUGGCGAAAGCGCUCUGCUAGGCCGCAACUGACACUGAGGACGAAAGCUAGGGGAGCGAAUGGG
rnacentral:rRNA from 1 species